UUCAUUUUGAUGAAAAAUUUAAUCUGAAAACUAUGCUGAGCAAUCAAACAAAUUAAACCAAAAGGAUACUGAUCAUAU